UACGAAGGGGGCUAGCGUUGUUCGGAAUUACUGGGCGUAAAGGGCGCGCAGGCGGCCCUCCAAGUCAGGUGUGAAAGCCCCGGGCUCAACCCGGGAAUAGCACUUGAGACUGGGGGGCUUGAGUUCGGGAGAGGAGAGUGGAAUUCCCAGUGUAGAGGUGAAAUUCGUAGAUAUUGGGAAGAACACCGGUGGCGAAGGCGGCUCACUGGCUCGUUUCUGACGCUCAGGCGCGACAGCGUGGGGAUCAAACAGG
rnacentral:rRNA from 1 species